UCAGACUCGUGGCGAAUAGCUCAGUAACACGUGGCCAAACUACCCUUCGGAACACAAUACCCUCGGGAAACUGAGGCUAAUAGUGUAUACCAUACCACCACUGGAAUGAGUGGUAUGCUAAACGCUCCGGCGCCGAAGGAUGUGGCUGCGGCCGAUUAGGUAGACGGUGGGGUAACGGCCCACCGUGCCAAUAAUCGGUAUGGGUCAUGAGAGUGAGAACCCAGAGACGGAAUCUGAGACAAGAUUCCGGGCCCUACGGGGCGCAGCAGGCGCGAAACCUUUACACUGCACGACAGUGCGAUAGGGGGAUCCCAAGUGCACAGGCAUAGCGCCUGUGCUUUUCGGUACCCUAAGGCGGUACCAGAAUAAGGGCUGGGCAAGACCGGUGCCAGCCGCCGCGGUAAUACCGGCAGCCCAAGUGAUGGCCGAUCUUAUUGGGCCUAAAGCGUCCGUAGCUGGCCGCGCAAGUCCAUCGGGAAAUCCACCUGCUCAACAGGUGGGCGCCCGGUAGAAACUGCGUGGCUUGGGACCGGAAGGCGCGACGGGUACGUC
rnacentral:rRNA from 2 species